UACGUAGGGGGCAAGCGUUGUCCGGAAUCAUUGGGUGUAAAGCGCGUGUAGGCGGUUCGGUAAGUCGGCUGUGAAAGUCCAGGGCUCAACCCUGGGAUGCCGGUCGAUACUGCCGGACUAGAGUUCGGAAGAGGCGAGUGGAAUUCCCGGUGUAGCGGUGAAAUGCGCAGAUAUCGGGAGGAACACCAAUGGCGAAGGCAGCUCGCUGGGACGUUACUGACGCUGAGGAGCGAAAGCGUGGGGAGCGAACAGG
rnacentral:rRNA from 1 species